UUGGCUGAGAUUGAAAUGUCACGCAGCGUCGGGGGAGGGGAGCACCGGCAAAGACGUGGCUAUUCCCCUGGAGCACGCUCAUGAUCCCAUAAAGACCCAUAACGCCCUGGAGAAUGGCGGCCUCUGAGAAGCAUCCUGUUUCUGGAAGCUAGUGGCACAAAUGCCUGGCAUGGAUGAGGUUGGCAUGGCAACUCUGCAUUGGCCACCGUGAGUCACGGAGUUCACAGACACAACAGAGAGACACCUGAGUGAGUCUGCGUUACCACAGGAAAACAAAAACUGGAACCGUGAAAGAGAACCGGGUCCUGAGAAAACUGGAAGUCAUAAAAGUUGUGUCAAGAAGAGAGAGAGGGAGACUCUAAAGAGAUCUUUCAGGUAUCAACAGUAAAAGAAGAUGGGAAGGUAGACCAGUUAGCUGUGAACCACUGGAAUCUUCCGUAGAUGGGCGGAGGUGAAAGGUCGGCUUGAAAGAAGCUACAUGCCAGUGUUGAUCCGGCAAUUGCCUGCUUCUUGCAUUAAAGGUGGCUGAAACUGGUUUUAAAGUAUGUGGGUUCCCUUUCGGCCUGUUGUGUGUGGUAGGUACCCUGUCAAGUGGGACACAGGC